GACGAACGCUGGCGGCGUGCUUAACACAUGCAAGUCGAGCGAACAAAGCUCCUUCGGGAGUGGAGUUAGCGGCGGACGGGUGAGUAACACGUGGGUAACCUGCCUUAUAGAGGGGGAUAGCCUUCCGAAAGGAAGAUUAAUACCGCAUAAGAAGUAGAAGUCGCAUGGCUUUAGCUUUAAAGGAGCAAUCCGCUAUAAGAUGGACCCGCGGCGCAUUAGCUAGUUGGUGAGGUAACGGCUCACCAAGGCGACGAUGCGUAGCCGACCUGGGAGGGUAAUCGGCCACAUUGGAACUGAGACACGGUCCAGACUCCUACGGGAGGCAGCAGUGGGGAAUAUUGCACAAUGGGCGAAAGCCUGAUGCAGCAACGCCGCGUGGGUGAUGAAGGUUUUCGGAUCGUAAAGCCCUGUCUUUUGGGACGAUAAUGACGGUACCAAAGGAGGAAGCCACGGCUAACUACGUGCCAGCCGCCGCAGUAA
rnacentral:rRNA from 1 species